rnacentral:rRNA from 1 species
GAUGAACGCUGGCGGCGUGCCUAAUACAUGCAAGUCGAGCGAACGGACGAGAAGCUUGCUUCUCUGAUGUUAGCGGCGGACGGGUGAGUAACACGUGGAUAACCUACCUAUAAGACUGGGAUAACUUCGGGAAACCGGGGCUAAUACCGGAUAAUAUUUUGAACCGCAUGGUUCAAAAGUGAAAGACGGUCUUGCUGUCACUUAUAGAUGGAUCCGCGCUGCAUUAGCUAGUUGGUAAGGUAACGGCUUACCAAGGCAACGAUGCAUAGCCGACCUGAGAGGGUGAUCGGCCACACUGGAACUGAGACACGGUCCAGACUCCUACGGGAGGCAGCAGUAGGGAAUCUUCCGCAAUGGGCGAAAGCCUGACGGAGCAACGCCGCGUGAGUGAUGAAGGUCUUCGGAUCGUAAAACUCUGUUAUUAGGGAAGAACAUAUGUGUAAGUAACUGUGCACAUCUUGACGGUACCUAAUCAGAAAGCCACGGCUAACUACGUGCCAGCAGCCGCGGUAAUACGUAGGUGGCAAGCGUUAUCCGGAAUUAUUGGGCGUAAAGCGCGCGUAGGCGGUUUUUUAAGUCUGAUGUGAAAGCCCACGGCUCAACCGUGGAGGGUCAUUGGAAACUGGAAAACUUGAGUGCAGAAGAGGAAAGUGGAAUUCCAUGUGUAGCGGUGAAAUGCGCAGAGAUAUGGAGGAACACCAGUGGCGAAGGCGACUUUCUGGUCUGUAACUGACGCUGAUGUGCGAAAGCGUGGGGAUCAAACAGGAUUAGAUACCCUGGUAGUCCACGCCGUAAACGAUGAGUGCUAAGUGUUAGGGGGUUUCCGCCCCUUAGUGCUGCAGCUAACGCAUUAAGCACUCCGCCUGGGGAGUACGACCGCAAGGUUGAAACUCAAAGGAACUGACGGGGACCCGCACAAGCGGUGGAGCAUGUGGUUUAAUUCGAAGCAACGCGAAGAACCUUACCAAAUCUUGACAUCCUUUGACAACUCUAGAGAUAGAGCCUUCCCCUUCGGGGGACAAAGUGACAGGUGGUGCAUGGUUGUCGUCAGCUCGUGUCGUGAGAUGUUGGGUUAAGUCCCGCAACGAGCGCAACCCUUAAGCUUAGUUGCCAUCAUUAAGUUGGGCACUCUAAGUUGACUGCCGGUGACAAACCGGAGGAAGGUGGGGAUGACGUCAAAUCAUCAUGCCCCUUAUGAUUUGGGCUACACACGUGCUACAAUGGACAAUACAAAGGGCAGCGAAACCGCGAGGUCAAGCAAAUCCCAUAAGGUUGUUCUCAGUUCGGAUUGUAGUCUGCAACUCGACUACAUGAAGCUGGAAUCGCUAGUAAUCGUAGAUCAGCAUGCUACGGUGAAUACGUUCCCGGGUCU